AGCGGGGUGGCGCAGAGGAAGCGCGCAGGGCUCAUAACCCUGAGGUCCCACGAUCGAAACGUGGCUUCGCUA